rnacentral:lncRNA from 1 species
GAGACACGACUUUUGCUGUUUGCAUUGAACGAUUGGGAAACGAAAACGAAUUCGAAAUUUUCCGACAAAUUACAUACGUUCCCUCCUGUUUCCCUCACGCUCACAAUCGGUAUCAAUGCCAUCCGUUCGCGUUACAGAACUCCCUUGCAUUCAGAGGAUCAUAGAGCUACGGAAACCAAUGCGUGUACGCAUCCGAAUACAUCCAUAGUUCCCUCUUUCUCUCUUAUCCUUCCCUCCCUCCUCCUCCUCCUCCUCCUCCUUUUUCUCCUGUUCUCAAACCACCCUCUUUCCUCUAAGAGCGGGAUAGCAGGCGAUCAAAUAAAAGCUCGUGUUUUUCCCGAUAUUGAACCCUAAGCUAAGCCUAACCUGCCCCAACCUCCGGCUACCGCAACGUGCCCUGGCGUAGAGCAAAAGGGAGAGCAGAAAGGGAAGGGUAAGGGGACAUGGGAGAAACGGAGGGGUGCAGGGCGCAGGGAUGGGUACGCGCGGGGGAAGGGUACCAGAUAGGGGGAAGCCACCCCAACUGCGGUCGUUGACCCCACGCACACUCCCAGUCCGGCCCGAACCCACCCCUCAGGGCCGACGACACUGGUGCCGUCUCACGGAAAAGUAUUGCACUCGCAUCGCAACCCCCUUUCAGAACCCUCACUCUAUCUCUUUCUCGCUGUCGGAGCCUUUCCUCCCUCGCCUUUCCUUCCGCGCUUAUAUCGUCUCUAUUGCUCGUCAGUCCGCGUUUUCCUUUCUUCCUCACUCUUCUUCUGUUUUUCUCGUCGCCUUACCGCCGCACCUCCCUUUCUUUCUCUUCCGAUCUCACUCUCUCUCUCUCUCUCUCUCUCUCUCUCUCUCUUCACUUUCCCUCUUCCUCUCUCUAGAUCUUGAAGGUAUUCCACGAUAACAACUAAACGGGGAAAAAAAUUUUAGGUCCCGCCGAGCAAAGUUCAUUUUGUUACUCAUCCCUUAUUGCCGCGAGCGAUUUGUCGAGCUGUUUGCAAUAUUUCUUGGAGGCUGUCGGUUAGGGGUGACGAGCAUUCUUGAGGAAGCGUAGUUGACCGCCGAUUUCCGCCUUGCAAAUUCUAGACGACGAAACGAUUAAAAAGAUGACACUAAAGAGACUGUUGUGAGCACGAAAAAUAAAAACUCUAUCUUAACAGCAAGUAUGGCAAGAGGAAGGAGAAACACAUAAAUGUUAUCUCUAUUCCCUAGAUAUUUUCCAAAAUAUUCUGAUUAAUACUAAGGUACAAUUGCGUAGAAUAAAUUACCGUACCGAACAAACCGUCCAAUCCAAUGUAUUGAAGCUUUCGAGUGAUAAUUAAAAACGUUUAUUUAUUCGUGGGUACUUUUGUACCUCAACGUAUGGAUCUACGUAAUGCGUACACGAGUAGACAGAUUGACGUCAUGUAAAAGUAUUGUACACUCGUUACAACCCUUUUCAAUACCUGCUCUGUCUCUUUCUCUACAGCCUUUCCCGUUUCGCGAUACCCCUCUAUACGUCCGUCAUGUUCUGACAAUUUGUGUGCACGCACAGUCAAGAGUAGAAAAAUUUAAGCCGAGUGAAAUUGAAAUAAACAAGAAAUGUUUUAUUAAGGCAUAUGUAAUAUAUACGCAAAGAAUUAAGUAUUUUAAUAACUAAUGGUAUUAAUCACAUCAAAAACGUCUUGCCGCAUCGUGUUCGGGUACGAUAAACAUUAACGUUACAAGUAGCGUACACAGUAAUCGAUCUAAGACAACGUGGGGCUUUAUCGUUAAUUGUAUUCGGAACUAUCGUAUCGUAAAAGCUAUUACGCUACACGUGUCACUUUCCGCUGCGAAAAAUGAGAGAGACUUGUGAAAGUAUCGCGAAGUUCAGAUUUCACACGCAUUAAGCCGCCCAUCUUUGUGAAAAAUCACACAAAACGGAUCGGCAAUAAUGCGUCGGGAAAAUUCUGAGGAAAAGUUUCACUGUCUCUCUCUUAGCGCCAUGGCCGAUUUGUUAUCCAGCCGCGCGGAUGCGUAUGCACGCCUUUACUUCCGGGUUAGGGUCCUAUGGGAUGCUGCUCAACGACCUGUAUCGACACACCUUUUUUUUUUCUCGUCAACAUCGAGCGCUAACAGGGACGUUCUUUUUCUUCGUCGACAAUCAAGAAGCCGUCUACAAUGGGAUCUCCACCUAUCGUGCGUGUGUCAUCCCCGGCCGCCAAAUCGCAAAAAUAUAAAUAAACAUAUUCUCCUUCUUCAAUAAUUACGAGUAAAUUGCAAUUUUAAUAAAUUAAUUAAAUUUAACUUUGAAGUACACUUUUGUUUCUGUAAAAAAUUUGUAAAAGUAACUCUGCACAUAAUAUUUUUUAUAACAAAUAUUUUCCACUAAUUGAUUUAUGUUACUUGAUACAUAAAUCAUAACAUUUAACUGAAUAAUCAGCUAAAUAAUUAAAUAUAGUCAUAGCCAACUAAAAAAAAGCGAUAUAUUUUUUAUUUUUCAACUAUACCUCUCGCAAAAGAAUUAUUGUACAUAAAUGUAAUUAAUACACCAUUCAAUAUGGCGAUAUUGAUAUAUCGCCAAUGGAUGACAAUGCGCAUAGAAAGCGUAAUAAAGUUUACUAAUUUACGAUUUCGUCAAUAACCCAGUCCAUAUAACGACGGUCAUCAGUUGUUCGAAAUUUCAACAACUUCCGCGCAAAUUCGUUGAAAUAACACGCGGUAGGUUUACAACGCGACCCAUCUACGUACUCUAAUCACAUUUCGCUGUAGUUUCGGGAAUCGCCUCGUCGGCCAGCGGAAACGUAAUUGUUAUUUUGCCAUCGCGCAAUGUAAAUGUCGCCAAAGCGUAGUUUGUUUUACGAUAACGCAUCGGCAUGAUGCCGCGCAAAGCAAGUGUAAACGAGGAGAGCACUUUUCCAGUAAUGAUCCGUUAACAAUGACCAUUGUGGUAGCGUCGCUUCGUUUGGCUAAUACCGAAUAGCGACACUCCUCACAAUUAUGGUAUAUUUUAUACACGCUAAUGGAAUAGCACCAUAAGUUUUUUUUACAACACUCGAUUACGUUUAAAGACGAAACAGUAGACCAUUCUCUGUUUGUAUUUUGUUAAUGAUCUAUUCUUUUGUAAAAUGGGAAUAAUUUGAAAUUUAAAUCUUAUUUUUGAAAACGUUGUUUUAAUUAAACAUUUUAAUAUUGAUAUUUAAUAGUGUGUGUGUGUGUGUUUGCGGUAUAAAUUUUAUAAUGCAUUGUAUCAUCUAUCUGUAACAGCACGCAGAUAGACGCGAUCUAUUAAGCUUAUUUUUUAAAAAUCUAGUGUUUGUUGUGAUUUAUCGCACGUACUGCGAGUGAAACGAUAAAACGUGAUUUUUAAUCUACGAGACAAAGAGAAAAAGUAUCGCUGAAUGAAUCAUAAAAACGUUGUGGUAUUGUUUAUUUUUUUUUUCCCCACACAUCACUGUACACGCCUGUCACGAAUGCGUGCCUUUUUUCGGACGAGUGUCGACAGUAUAAUCCAGAACAGAUGAAAGAGUUGCAUUAUUUUCGGGCGAACACGCUAGCCUACUAAAAUCUCUCUCUAUCUCUCGGACACCAACGCGGCAAUUUUUCUACUCGUGAUAAACUGUAAAUAAAUGUUUUAUUAAAUCCACGGUGGAAACACGACUAAAUAUUUUUAUUUGCCGAACGAUGUUAUUUCUCGUAAAAGCGCUAUAACAAAAAAACAAGCGACGUACAAGAUUGAUUAAAAAGGGGCCGUUUCACGGUGGUGCGAAAUUAAAAACUAUCACUUCACCCUGUGACUGACUUCUGUUUACCGUUUUCUAUUGUAUGAACCGAGCAAUUUAUUCGGUUUACGCGAAAAAAUAUAACUUCACAUAAAGAUACGCGUAGCUUCAUGCACUUGAAGCCAGUAAAUGUUAUUUUCAUGAAAAAGUUCGAAGUAGCAGUUUUCCCCUAGUUUUAUGAAUAUCAUUUAACUCAUAGAAUUAUUAAUCCUUGCUUUAUCAAAAAUUUUUGUAAUUUUUAAUAUUACUACAAUACACAAUCACAUAUACAACUUACAAACGUAUAUUGUCCUUUUUAAAGACUAGAAAUUUAACAAAAAAUGUAGAUAUCUAAAAAAAUUAAUAUUUUUAGUAUAUAAAUCUCUCAACUCUUUUGUACACGCAAAAAUAUAAUUAUCUCAAUAUAUAAUAAUAAAAAUGUACUUCAAGCAAAAACUAUUAAAUUCUGUUUUAACUUUUACAACUUUGUGUCUUUAUAAUUAAAAAAGUAUAUAAUAGAUAAUUAUCUAUGCAAAUGGAUACGAUUUAAUGACAGAAAUAUCAUGUGUGUUUCCGAGAACAAAAGAGUUUCUUUUUUGCCAAACGUACUCGCUAGUUUUUGAACGAACAGUGGAGUGGAGCAAACUUAUAUGUCUCACGAAGGGAGACGACCCACCCUAAAUUUGCGUGUUCGAGCGGUUCGCAGACUGUGCUCCCUUCCUAAAAGUUUCAACCCUCCGAGGAUAGCCCGUACUGACCUACCCCUACUACGUGAUUUAUGUACGAGCACCGUGCGUAGACUCAAGGGCGACGAGACCCCCUUUUUCCUCCUUAGCCCUUUCGAGACACAUCGGGCGCACAAGUACUUGUCUCGAAGGGAGGGCUGAAAAAUUUCUCUCGCGAUCGUGUCUCCCUCGCAUAUUUUAACGAUACGACGAAACGCACUUUUAACACGAGAAAUAAAACUAAUUUGCCGAUUAUGCUUAUCAUUAGUAUUAUAAUCUAUUUGUCGAAAAUAAACAGAUGUUUUUUUUUUACUAAAAUCAAUUAAUGAAUCUUUUUCACAUCAAUUUUUAUAUGUUUAUAGUAAAGAAGUAUAUAUCAAGAGUCGGUUUUAAAUAUUAAAUUUACACGAUUGUUUAUAUAAAAAUAAAAGUAACAAUUGGCCAAUAAUAUUUGAUAUUAUAGUUAAUAUACAAAGCAAAAAAAUAAAUAAAAGCUCAACAUCAGAGAAGCAAUACAAAAAUAUAUACACUUUCCUAUAUUUUCGCAGCUAUUACGCCCACGAAAUUUCAUUCGAAUUCGAAAUAAAGCUCGGGGAUGUUUCUUAAUUAAUUCAGCUACAAAUUAUUUCAAUCGCGAAGUCAGCGACAAAAUCUAAUCUAAAUCUGUAAAUUCAUAGACUCUCUUUCUCCCUCUUUCUUUUUCCCUUUGCCUUGUCGGUACACCGUGUUGUUUUUCGUUGUUUUUUUUCACGGUUAACCGUAAUAGCUACUUUGUACCACGGUCUCAGUUUACGUCCGUAAAGGUACGUACUCUGGUACGUAUCUCUGUCUUGAUGCGAAUAGCGCGGUACCACCGUUGAUCCGCGAAAAAUGCAUACGCUUAUUUCGCGACGCCAACAACAGAUAUCUCCUUCUAUCUGUUCCCUACCUCUUCCUUUCAUCCGCCUCCUCGUCAUCCAUCCUCCGUCCUGCUGCCCCUCGCGCUCUACUAAAUUACGAACGGUCUGCAAAAUUGCUUUCGUAAAAGAAAACCGUUGUCCGUUCCUAGCGGUCGAUACGGCCUUCCAAAAGGGGCUUGGAUGCGAGGUGCGUGCGCGUACGUUUCUACAUUCGCCCUUUGAACGAUAACCGUUCGCGAAUAGAGAAGAAACGAAAAGGCAUAGCUUCCGCGAACGCAUGGCCCACUCGCUCUUAGACCACCGCGCGUCUAAUUUCUUUUUCGUGGAAGGUGCCGUUCGAUGGAUGAGCGACUUUCGUGGGCAGGAAGUCCGAAACAGCCGCACGAGGAAACGCGAAUUGUAGCAUUGCCCUCCUAGAACUACUUCGCUAGUAAUUACUCCGAUACUUGCUUUUCCGAGAAGAUAAGAACGCUUCUACAUAUUGUAUUAAAAACUUGAAUAACAAACUCUUCAUUCAUACAUAGCUGGGUUAAUAAUUUGAAAAUGUUUUAUUUAGUCUUGUGCAUACGUUAUUUUUUUUAAUAUAUGUUAUAGUUUUGCAGCAGUUUUUCAAAUUCUCGAUAUCUUUAUCAAACGUUACAUUUUUUUACGAAUUUUUCAAUUUCAAAAUAUCUUAUUAUAUUUAUAAUUAAAUCAAAAAUUUACGAAAUCAGGCUUUACUUAAGAUUAGCCAAACAAUACAAUUUCAUCAUCUAAUUUCUUAAGUUGCAGAAUCUAUCAUAUAAAAAUUAUUUAUGUCUCAAUAUGUACAUUAAAGCAAUAUUAGAUUUGUUUUUAACAAACUUACGUAUUGAUUUACUAAAAAAACUGUUUUUUAUACACUACAAUCGCACAAACUAAAAAAUAUAAAUCAAUCUUAUAUUGCCGCACCGUUGGACAUAUCUAUUUGCAACUGCAAAAAACGAUUAGGCCUGUCAGACCCUCUCUCUUUGACAACGAUUCAUUAUUGAACACGUAAUCGUAGCACCGCUGGAGAAUCACAACUUUGUUUUUAACUCUCCUUGCAAGGUCUCUUUAGGUCUCCUACGGAGGGAUCGUACCUAAGUACUUGUUGCUUUCAAAACGCACAGUGAUUCGUUCGGUUGUACACGUUUUGCACUCUGCGCAAAUAUAUAGCGGGCAAAAAUAACACGGUUUGUUGUGGAAACAGAAAAAUACACCUAUGCAUCGUUAGAAAAAUAAUUUUUUCAUAAAAUAAUCAAGGAAUUUAAUCCAAUUAGAAAUUGUUACGACCCUUUUGAAAAUAUUUCCUGGGAUAUUCUAAAUCUGUUUCUUUUUCUCUUCUACUUCUAAAUACAGUUAAACUAAUUUAUGAUUCAAAACAAAGAUCGUUUAAGUUUUUCAGGACGUCUGCAGACAUUUUACAUACAUGAUUCCAUAUACCGUAUGCCCGUACACGUAUAACGUUAAAAAAAAUAUCGCUGCCGUGCCCGGAGGUAGUAUCGUGGAUUCGCAUAUCGUCGUUCAGAAAUUUCGCAAACAUUUCGAGUUCGAAACAUUGUUGUUAGCGCAUGUCUUACAUUAAUUGAACGUACACGAUGGGUGCACGGUUUAAUUAAUUUCGACGAAAGAGACAGAUGUGUCCUCGAUAAAUAUCCGAAAAUAAACUUUUCCUAUUUUCCCAUUCCCCUCAAUCCUCGAUCAUGCAUCGCGACGUGUGUCUGAAGUGUCACGCGUGAGCCCACGGACAACGCAAUCCAUCCGUCACGACAUCUCCAUCAGAAAAUUGAUCAACCCCCCCCUCCCCCUGCGUCGCGCAUCGUUGCGAACAUGACGAAAACUUAACGGGCCGCAUACACCGGAAACGGACUACGCGGAGCCACCGACACCUACCUAGCCCGCUCACGAGCGCGAACUUGCAGUUACUCGGCCUCCUACCCCUCCUGGCGACGAGCAAGUUGGCGAAGGUGGCGGUAGCGGUCCUCGCGGAGAAUUCAUCCCUUAAGAAAAUACAGGCAAUAACCUCCGGAUCCUCAUUGGAGGCGGGAGGCCGGGAGAUGGGCGCGACGACGGGGGGGAUGGCAUAGUGCUGGAAAGACGUUGCUGCGUAGUGAGAAGCAACGACGCGGAGGGGCGUCGAACGAAGGAGAACGAAGCAGCCGCCGUUGCCGUUGCCGUUGCCGUUGCCGCCGCCGCCGCCACCGCCACCGCCGCCGUCGGCGCCGCGGAAGUGGAGGAAAAGGUGAAGGUGGAGAACUCGGAGGGAGGGGGCGGUGGGUUAAAGAUUGCAUCGCUCGGCUAAGGAUGAUCCGGCUUGAUCCCUCAGCACAGGCCGCACUCUGCCAAGACGCCGCUGAACGACACGUUCGAUUUCAUCUAAUGCGGGCGAUCUUUUUCUCUGAUCUUACGUUCAAGUAUGCUUACGUAUUAUUCAUCUCUGUCUUGCACUCCGUUACAAAAAUUUUCAAAAUUUCAAUAAUUGUUCCUAAAAAAUUUAUAAUUUUUUAAUUAAUAAUUUAAACAUAGAACAUUGCAAGAAGCAACAAAUAUUUGAUUUUAUAAAAGUUAUAAAAUCAAAUUUAUUUAUUUAGUAGACGAUUAAAAGUACAUCCUAUAUUCUUUUGUUAAAUUUAUCAAAGUAAAUCCGAAUUCUAGACAAAGAAAAAUUAUACGUCAAAUAAUUAAUUAUAUAAAAAUGUACAGAAAUGCCUAUGCCUGUACAUACCUUCUUAAACAUAGGAGGAAAUAUUUUUGAAUGAUAACUUUCCCUCUCUAUGAACACGUUUACGUAAUAAUUGCAUUAAGUUAACAUAUAUUCUCAAAAGUAUUUGUAUAAUUUAGAGUGUAAUAUUUUUGUGCGUAAAUGUUAUUACUGAUAAAAGAGGUUCUCGAAAAAUGUGAUCCAUGCAAUUUCAACAUUGCGCGUAAUCGAUAACAAUUCAAUGAAAUACUAUUGUGCACGUAAAAGUGUGUUGUGUCUUCCAAUCGAAUACUGGAUUCUGUUUUACUUCCGAUCCAUUUCCACUGUAUUGCGUAAGGGGAGCACCCCUUCCGGAAAUUCUAAAUAUAUUAGCGUUACGCGUACGACUGUUCAGAAGUAAUUUUCGACAGGUAAAAUUCUGCAGGCUUGCUCGACAUUAUUGAUACAUUGAGGUAACGAGUAAUAAGUGAUUAUAUAAAGUAACAUAGAUUAAUCCCGUAUAUAUCGGCAGUAUAACUGUUAUUUAACGUAAUUAACACUUGGUGAUUAGCAGAUCUCAUAAAAUAUUAUCUAUUAUAUAACAGAGGUGCCAAAUAUAUAUCUAUAAAAUUCAACCCCCUGAAACAUUAGUCUUUAUAAAAGAAACUAUAUUUUCACCGUUAUUUCUUCGUUCUUUCUAAGAUCCACUCCGCAUAAUUAACGACGCUCAAAUCGCCAGCGUAAAACCGUAAAGGCCGUUCGAGCGUAAACUACACAAUCAAUUAAUCACCGAUUAGUACCAUUUAUCCCGAGAUCACGAUUGUUAUCGCUUCGUUGGUUCGAAAGUAUUGUCUUCCGUAAAGAAAAAAAAA